GACAGAGGGUGCGAACGUUGUUCGGAAUUACUGGGCGUAAAGCGCAUGUAGGCGGCAGCGCAAGUCGGGCGUGAAAUCCCACGGCUCAACCGUGGAAGUGCACUCGAAACUGCGCAGCUAGGGUCCUGGAGAGGAAGGUGGAAUGCUUGGUGUAGAGGUGAAAUUCGUAGAUAUCAAGCGGAACACCGGUGGCGAAGGCGGCCUUCUGGACAGUGACUGACGCUGAGAUGCGAAAGCGUGGGGAGCAAACAGG
rnacentral:rRNA from 1 species